UGCCCCAUACUGCGCAUGCUCGCUAGCCCCGCCCGGCCCACACUGCGCAUGCUUGCCGGCCACGCCCGGUCCACACCACAUUGCGCAUGCUCACCGGCUUCCGCCCCGCGCCCGUCGUCAGCGUCGAGACGCAGGUGCGUGCCAGUCGAGGCUCGCUUUGCGGGCGUGUUUGGGGAUUGCCUGGCAGGGUAUUUGGGAGCCGUGGGCUGACGCGCAAGGGCGUGCAUCCGCCGAGGCCUCGUGCAGUGACUCGUGUAGUGAGGGCCGAGCCCCGUGCCGGAUUCGCUGUAGCCCGCAGCCGCUGGCGGCUUUGUGGGUGCAGCCACGCUCCUCAGCCGCCCGCCCACCUGGGCCUGGGACGCGGUCGUUUCCCUGCGUGUCUGUGGUGGUUCCUUUCCAGGGUCUCGAGCGCACCGCCCCUUCGCUGCGCUUUUAGUCGAGGGCAGUUUUCUGGGGCAUUCCCCGGUCCCCCCGUGCCUCUCGGGCGUCCUGGCCCGCGGAAGCGCGGGCGCCGACUGCCUGGCGUCGCCCGUGACACCUGGCCCCUCUCUGUGGAUCCCUGUGCUUCUCGCUGCGGGUUGUGUUUCCUGCUUCGUGGGCCUGGCCGUUUGCGUUGGAUGCAGGCCCUGGUGAUCCUUGCGUGGCCCGCUGGCCUUUUCCUGCUCCCGAGGUGACUGAGCCGCGUGUGACACAUCGCAGUGACUUGAGGCAACGCGUUCCUUUCCAGGCUUGCAGCAGGCGGUGCUGUUCACGCUCCUGAGCGGAGCCUUCCGGUGCUUUACUCGACGCCCCAAAUAGUGCGCUGUUCCUCCCAGGGACUGCCGCGAGCUGGAACUCUUCCCCCGCCCUGUGAGCUCGGGGCUGUACUUUCUCCGGUUGUCUCACUCCAGCCUCGAUGUUUCCUCGCUGCCUAAACCUGCUCGGGAACACUCGAGAAGGCCGCUCCAGGACUCCCGCUCUCCAUGGAAGGGCUUCCCCUCGGAUUGCGUCUUGGCCCCUGGAACCCUCUGUCCGUAUUCUCUGCUGUUACUCUCUUGGCCUCCAUUUGGGUUGUGGCCUGGAAACUCCUGGCUCGCUGCUUCCCUUCUCUUAAGGAUCACAGCCCUGCACUGCCUGUCGUCCAAUGCCUGGAAACCAUUGUAUUUUUUGGUCUGAUUUUGUAGUUGUUUAAGAACUUAAAUCUGGUCCCUCACACUCCAUGACCAGAAGCAGAAAUCAGUAGAAGUUUGUUUUUUCUUAAAAUGACAAUUACUUUAUUGUGUUGGUUCAAUUUAUGUUGUACUUUAGAAGAAAUUUGGCUGAAAGUACAAAGAAAAUAUACAAAUGCAAGUAUUUUUUUUUAAAACUUCCCUGAAAGCAAGGUCUGAAGAAAUUACCAACCAACUUAGACUGGAUCUGGAAGAAAAGGAAGGGUCCUUGCAGUCUUAGGACUCUUCCAUUCCGUGACGUAGGUGUUAGGUUAACAGCCAUAAAUGGUUGUAAGACUUUGGGCUCAGAUAAGUAGACUUAAGUUCAAAUUUUGACUUAUUUUACAAGUAUCUGAUUUGUGGCAAGCUCAUCUUCCUAAACCAUGAGCUCCUUAUUUGUAAAGGGGACAUUAGCCACUCUCCAGCAACAGCACUGGCACUUCUUCAGUCCUGGGAUGGGACGUAUGACUAGCCUAAGCGAACCAGAAAAUCCAAGCCCCUGACCACAGCGACUUAAUCAGGGCUGGCGAUAUGUCUAGGCCCUCCUGGUGGGAUCCCAUCGCAUCCCUUGCCUCCACUGUCAUCUGCUCCACGUGAUAUCUCCAGGGGGACCUCUCUGCUGGGCUCCAGGCCGCAUAGCUGUGGGUGGCCAGCAUGAUGUCCCACCAGGACCCCUGCCGUCCUAGCGCACCCGCCUGGUCAUCCGGGGACCUGUCCUCACUGCCUGCUGCCUGCACUGUGUGGAAGGACAGAGGCUAAACGAGGAAGCCUGGAACUCUGGUCUCAUGGACAUGGCAGCCUGCCCACCACCCACGCCUGCCCAGCCUUUCUUCACGCAGCGCGUAAGACUCUUUUAAAAAUACAAGUAUUAUCCUGUCCUGUU